CCCGAAGUCUCCAGGCAAGUCUCAUCAUUCCAGCCAAAAGAAGCAAUCGCUUAGAUUUAAUGAUGAGCCCCAAAUCCAGAGACCUUGCGUUUUCCCCACGUUCAACCUUGGGGUCGAAUGACUCAGCAUCCUAAAGUGCGUGUCUAGGAUCACAAAGUGUGGCAAGAGCUGUCAAUCAACUGUCCCGGGGCCUUUGAGAUCCAGGUGACGCUCGCCCUUUCUCCCGCUGGGGAUGGAGACCACAGGCGGGGAGGCGCGGAGCGGAAAGGCCUCACUCACGCUGGCAGCGCUGUCCCGACACUCCGGUCGGAAGACAAGCCUCAACCCACGACCACCUCCCGGAGCCCGGAGCCCAGAGCCCAGAGCUCGGAGCCCGAAGCCCGGAGCCUAGAGCGUGAGUCGGGAUGGGAACGGCGGGACGGCGCGUCCGCACUCGAACCAUCCUUCGGAUCCCUAUCUGGAGACCGUGACAUCCCGAUGCCCCUGAGCCCGGUGUCGCCCGAACUCACCCCAGCCCGGUGCUAGGAGGCACUGCGCUCUGCCGUGUGCCCUGCAGGACACCGUCCGCGUUCUCCACGAGACUACAGGCCGAGGGCGGGGUUAGUCCGAGGCCGUUUCCGAGAGCACGACGCCAGGGGCGGGGCGUCCGAGUGCUGGCUGACGGUGGGAGCUGGGAGUCUGAGUUUUGUUCAGGGCUUGGAUGUGGCUUACCUAUCGUGCUGGGAGCCCCCAGGUUGAUUUCUAACCAAUUCUACACAAACUGGUCGAGGUGCAUUGCCUGUAAUCCCAGUACUUUCCAGGUGGAGGCAGGAGGAUCAUAAAUUCAAGCCUUGGGUCAGAGACGAGCAAUGCUGCAAGCCAAUCGGAUUUAACAAUCUCUCCAUUUUGCCAGUAACUCGCCCUAGGUGUGGAGGAAAUCGGUUCAGUAUUGCCCCAGCAGGAAGACCCCAUCUGUGAGCAGUGAGUGCCUGGACGUGCUAACACUGGGACUCGCCAGUUAUUCUGUGCUGGGGUUUGCUGAAUGGGACGAUUUCUUAGAGAACAGUUUAGACAGUGUGGUGCUCGAUUCUGAGCAGAGUAGAUGGUAAAUAAACAGUUGCACUGUCAGGGGCCGGCACUGCUGACAGUUUGGCCUCCUUUGUACAAACAGAAAUACAAAUAAAAACAGAGUUCUUGGAGUGGCUGCCUAGUUUUGGUGUGCUGAAGGGUUCAAAGUUAUGUUCUCUUCUUGACUUUUGCCCGUGUUUGUUUUGUUUGUUUGUUUUUGUUUGUUUGUUUUGUUUUUAUUUUUUCGAGACAGGGUUUCUCUGUGUAGCUUUGGAGCCUAUCCUGGCACUCGCUCUGGAGACCAGGCUGGCCUCGAACUCACAGAGGUCCGCAUGUCUCUGCCUCCCGAGUGCUGGGAUUAAAGGCGUGCGCCCCGUGUUUGUUUUUGAAAGACAUGUUAGAUAUGGCGGUUUAUUUUUUUCCCCUCUGGUUGUGCGUUUUAUUUUGUUAUGAACUUGAAUUCAUUAUAAGCCUUUUAGCAGCAACCUCAUGUCUGGUUCGUUUUUACUUUUUCCUCUUG
rnacentral:lncRNA from 1 species